rnacentral:rRNA from 1 species
UACGUAGGGCGCAAGCGUUGUCCGGAUUCAUUGGGCGUAAAGAGCUCGUAGGCGGCUCAGUAAGUCGGGUGUGAAACCCUCAGGCUCAACCUGGGGACGCCACUCGAUACUGCUGUGGCUAGAGUCCGGUAGGGGAGUGUGGAAUUCCCGGUGUAGCGGUGAAAUGCGCAGAUAUCGGGAGGAACACCAGCGGCGAAGGCGGCACUCUGGGCUGGUACUGACGCUGAGGAGCGAAAGCGUGGGUAGCAAACAGG